AACCAGGGUUUUGCAGAGGCUUUCCUCUGUAGGCGUAGCUGGUUUCAAAUUCCAAUUGAGAGAACAAAGAAAUGGCAGCUACUAUUGCAUCAAGAUCUUCUUUUCUUCGUCCAAUUUUCCGAACAGAAACAACAAGAACCAAAAUCCCGUUUUAAGCUCCAAAUCCUUCACUUCGAUCCAAUUUCACUCUUCAUCAGACCCGGAUUUCUCCUUUCUCUCUGUCUCGGUUGGUUCGACGAGAAUUAAGCACGCUUCAACCGGUUCACAGUGCGGUUGCAUCGUCCAUCUUUGUUUACAAGCUUUCCCGUGAUGCCAAUGGUUGUGCCGAAGGUCAAUUUGCUAAUUAUCUCAGUCCCAUCUAGUAGCAAGCAUUUGUAGAGGUUCGGCUUAUUCCUCUCAAUCUAAUGAUGCCUGCUUACUUCAUUUCACAAGUCAGAACUUAGCUUUUCAGUUAAUCAAUUGCCGAAUGUGCUUAUUUACCCACCUUUUACUUGUUAGGCAGUUUUAACCGACUCGUGUAAUUCUUCUCCAUAGUUUGUGACAGUUUUAACUUACAUUGACUGGAUGUUUCCUUGCUAAAAGUUUGUACUGAUUUCAUCAGAAUAGUUAGAGAAAUAAAUCCAUCAUUGCAUCCAGCUUUGAAUACUGUUACAGUUAUGCUGAUGAAUAGUGAUAAAACCUCAGAUUGGUCCUUAAAAAUGAAA